AUUGAACGCUGGCGGCAUGCUUUACACAUGCAAGUCGAACGGCAGCGCGGGCUUCGGCCUGGCGGCGAGUGGCGAACGGGUGAGUAAUGCAUCGGAACGUGCCCAGCAGUGGGGGAUAGCCCGGCGAAAGCCGGAUUAAUACAGCAUACGACCUGAGGGUGAAAGCGGGGGACCGAAAGGACUCGCGCUAUUGGAGCGGCCGAUGUCGGAUUAGCUAGUUGGUUGGGUAAAGGCUUACCAAGGCGACGAUCCGUAGCUGGUCUGAGAGGACGACCAGCCACACUGGGACUGAGACACGGCCCAGACUCCUACGGGAGGCAGCAGUGGGGAAUUUUGGGCAAUGGGGGCAACCCUGAUGCAGCAAUGCCGCGUGCGGGAAGAAGGCCUUCGGGUUGUAAAACGCUUUUGUUCGGGAAGAAAUCCUCUGGGCUAAUCUCCCGGGGGGAUGACGGUACCGGAAGAGUAAGCACCGGCUAACUACGUG
rnacentral:rRNA from 1 species